rnacentral:lncRNA from 1 species
GGGUACCAGCGCUAAGGAAGAAGCUCCGCUGCUGCUGUUUUAUUUCGCAUGUGAAAGAAGUUCCGAGGAAGAUGAACGGAGGAAGAAGAAUAAGUAGGACACGUUAGAUGCAGAUCCAAUGGUUGAUAAUUUCAAGUGUGUGGGGAUGUAAAAUACUCGAGUACAUCAUAGACAAUCCCUAGUUUUUUUAUUAAUACACCUGUUUUAGUUGUAUCAGAAUAGAAGUAAAAAUUAUAGGAACAUGCGGUAAUUUGUGGCGCAUGUAAUAUCUAAC